rnacentral:rRNA from 1 species
UACAGAGGUCUCAAGCGUUGUUCGGAUUCAUUGGGUUUAAAGGGUGCGUAGGUGGGUUGGUAAGUCAGUGGUGAAAUCUCCAGGCUUAACUUGGAAACUGCCAUUGAUACUAUCAAUCUUGAAUACCGUGGAGGUCAGCGGAAUAUGUCAUGUAGCGGUGAAAUGCUUAGAUAUGACAUAGAACACCAAUUGCGAAGGCAGCUGGCUACACGAAUAUUGACACUGAUGCACGAAAGCGUGGGGAUCAAACAGG